rnacentral:lncRNA from 1 species
UGAUGAACGUCAUCUUCACCACAACUACACAGAAUUAAGCAAUUGAGUGAUUUUGAUUGACGUGGAAGAGUCUUCACUUCCAACACUGUGGAAAUCUCUGAGUCAAGUUGGGGAUAUCUAGUCCUGUUCUCUGGUGAGCAGAUGCCUGUGUGGGCUUCAUGGGUUGCACAUCCAAGACUUGCGUCAAGGAUGGAAUCACCUGGGACAGAAAACUUCUGUGCUAGCAGACAAGAAAGCCCAGGAUCAUGCCUGUGUCCUUCAGUUCAGUAGAUACUCAAGAUCCCUGAGUGCCUAAGAGGAGUCAGCUUGUUUCAUGUGGGGUUACUCACCCUAUCCUGUUUCAUUUCAACUUAUGACAACUGGAGUCUCUCGUCUGAAGUCACACAUGAGUUACAUGUGGUUUGGAUCUGGCCUGAGAAGGAGCCUCAACCAAACACUCAGCAUUUUGGUCUGAGAAGAAGGUUGCAUUAUACUCUAAGUACCUGUUUCCUCAAGAAAGCAUCUUAGUAGCUAAGCACAGCAGCACCUGCAGGAAUCUUCAACUCGUAAGCGGCAAGGAAUGGUCUGAAGUACCCAUGUUUACUUUACUCAGGGGGAGAGCAGCUUUGGGCGUUCUCUCCUCUCGCAAGGAUGGACUUUUAGCUCACUGUAAGGGCUUUCUGAAACCAAAUCUCUCCCUCCCUUAUUCUUCUCCCACUCCUUUCCCUUCCCCAUUCCUUCCUGCCUCCUCCUUCCCUCCCUUCCUCCCCCCUCCUUUCUUC